UGGUGAUUCCAGCUCCAGGGUUGCUGUGGUCAACACUGGGUACUUGAGGAGAGGUUGUCUGUGAUGAGUUCGCUUUAUUAAUGACGAAUAUAACACAGAUGGCCUGUUUUCAAUACCACCUGCCACUCCGGUCCCUCGGCAGUACAUACCAGGUGUCACACCGCUGCCCGGCAGGUGACGCUGAAUUGGUCCCCAGGUGCCGAAGUUCAGGAACUCUGCCUACACUCCCUCCCAGCUGCUCAUCCUAGGUUGGGACAUUCCAUUGGAGAGCUAUGGCUAUUAACAAGCCCCAAAGCCUGACCUGAAGCCAUCAGUGGCCCAGUAGCUGCUCUGCCUGAGCGUGUUGCCUUUUCCUCUCCCUGGAUCUCCUGCUUAGGACAACAGACAACAAAGAUUUUCGACCCCAGAAGAUGCUCCCCACUGCCCACCUGAGAAGACUAUCCAGUACCCUGUUGCCCCCAAUGCAUCCUGUGCUAUCCACCGAGUCUCCAACCCAUAGCCCCUGCCUCAUGUCUCACCCCAAGCCUUGCAUUUCAGAUCUGAGCAGCCCUUGCUUAUGAACCUGAGGUGGGGGGUGGGUACACAGACCCAGGGGACUGAGCAGGGAGGGGAAGGAGGGAUUUCUGCUUUUGGCUUUCAAAGUCUCAGUGAAUGUAUCCCUUUGAAUAAUAAACAUAUAUCAUA